rnacentral:rRNA from 1 species
GAUGAACGCUGGCGGCGUGCCUAAUACAUGCAAGUCGAGCGAACGGACGAGACGCUUGCUUCUCUGAUGUUAGCGGCGGACGGGUGAGUAACACGUGGAUAACCUACCUAUCAGACUGGGAUAACUUCGGGACACCGGAGCUAAUACCGGAUAAUAUUUUGAACCGCAUGGUUCAAGAGUGAAAGACGGUCUUGCUGUCACUUAUAGAUGCAUCCGCGCUGCAUUAGCUAGUUGGUAAGGUAACGGCUUACCAAGGCAACGAUGCAUAGCCGGCCUGAGAGGGUGAUCGGCCACACUGGAACUGAGAGACGGUCCAGACGCCUACGGGAGGCAGCAGUAGGGAAUCUGCGGCAAUGGGCGAAAGCGUGACGGAGCAACGCCGCGUGGGUGAGGAAGGUCUUCGGAUCGUAAAACUCUGUUAUUAGUGAAGAACAUAUGUGUAAGUAACUGUGCACGUCGUGACGGUACCGAAUCAGAAAGCCACGGCUAACUACGUG